AGGCUGCAACUCGCCUGCAUGAAGUCGGAAUUGCUAGUAAUCGCGGAUCAGCAUGCCGCGGUGAAUACAUUCCCGGGCCUUGUACACACCGCCCGUCACACCAUGGGAGUCGGUAACACCCGAAGCCGAUAGUCUAACGAAAGAGGACGUCGUCGAAGGUGGGAUUGAUGACUGGGGUGAAGUCGUAACAAGGUACC
rnacentral:rRNA from 1 species